GGAUUAUGGCUCAGUGGUCGAGCGCUUGCCUAGCAUGUGUGAGGCACUGGGUUCAAAUCUCAGCACCA
rnacentral:tRNA from 1 species